rnacentral:rRNA from 1 species
CUAAAACAUUCGUAGCUUGUUUGAUAAGUCUCUUGUGAAAUCUGAUAUCUUAAAUAUCAGGCGUGCAAGAGGUACUGUCUUACUAGAGACCGGAAGACGCAAAGAGUAUUGUUGAGGUAGCGGUAAAAUGUGUUAAUCUCAAUUAGACUAACAAUGGCGAAGGCACUUUGCGAGUACGGAUCUGACAGUGAGGGAUGAAGGCUAGGGGCGCAAAAGGGAUUAGAUACCCCUGUAGUCCUAGCAGUAAACACUGCUCACUAAACAUUAGUACCUCCUCGAGAGGUAUUGGUGCUGUAGAGAAGUCGAAGAGUGAGCUACCUGGGAAGUAUAGUCGCAAGACCGAAACUUAAAGGAAUUGGCGGGGAGACACUACAACAAGUGACGCGUGCGGUUUAAUUAGAUGAUACACCGUGAAUCUCACCAGGAGCGACAGCAGAAUGAAGGUCAGUCUAAAGGGCUUACCUGACACGCUGAGAGGAGUUGCAUGGCCGACAUAAGCCUGUGUCGUGAGAUGACUUGUUAAAUCAAGUAACAGGCGAGACCCUCGUUUUUAAUUGCUACUUUAAUGGGCACAUUAAAAAGACUGCCUUGGUAACAAGGAGGAGGGUGGGGGCAAUGUCAGGUGAGUACAGCCCGAAUCCCCUGGGCUACACGCGCGCGGCAAUGUCACAUUCAAUGAGAUGCAACUCUGAAAAGAGAAGCUAAUCUCCUAAAGUGUGGCUUAGUUCAGAUUGAGGUUUGUAACCCAACCUCAUGACGAUGGAAUU